rnacentral:rRNA from 2 species
GUGACCUCAGAUCAGGUAGGAAA